GUAUUGACUGCCGAAGACAGUAGGUGCCGCAAGGCGUAAGGGGUGACCGCCUACCGAGGAAAUGUACAAAACUCACUGAGUGAUUGUAGACCUCUCUGUCUUUGUGACGGAGAGGUUUUUCUUUG
rnacentral:sRNA from 1 species